UGGGGAAUAUUGCACAAUGGGCGCAAGCCUGAUGCAGCCAUGCCGCGUGUAUGAAGAAGGCCUUCGGGUUGUAAAGUACUUUCAGCGGGGAGGAAGGGAGUAAAGUUAAUACCUUUGCUCAUUGACGUUACCCGCAGAAGAAGCACCGGCUAACUCCGUGCCAGCAGCCGCGGUAAUACGGAGGGUGCAAGCGUUAAUCGGAAUUACUGGGCGUAAAGCGCACGCAGGCGGUUGAUUGAGUCAGAUGUGAAAUCCCCGGGCUUAACCCGGGAAUUGCAUCUGAUAUGGGUCAGCGAGAGUGUUGUAGAGGGGGGUGGAUUUCCAUGUGUAGCGAUGAAAGGCGUAGAGAUGUGGAGGAAUACCGGUGGCUAAGGCGGCCCCCUGGACAAAGACUGACGCUCAGGUGGGAAAGCGUGGGGAGCAAACAGG
rnacentral:rRNA from 1 species